rnacentral:tRNA from 1 species
GGGGUUGUGGCUCAGCGGUAGAGUGCUCACCUCAUACGUGAGAGACCCUGGCUUCGAUCCUCAGCACCA